rfam:Stegodyphus mimosarum contig9306, whole genome shotgun sequence.
GCCUUCGUGGUGAAAUGGUCAGCACACUGAGCCGGUAUUUCAGAGGUCCGUGGUUCGAUCCCCGGCGAAGGCA